rnacentral:lncRNA from 1 species
UGGAGGCAGAGAAAACGCAGAGCGAAGCAAGGAACAAGGAAGAGAAAGAUGCAGCAUUGAGGCAAUUAAGAAAGAGUUUGAUGUUCAAAGCAAACCCAAUGCCUAACUUCUACCAUGAAGGGCCUCCUCCAAAGGUUGAACUUAAGAAGGUAACACACAAGGUUGUCUACAACAUUCAGAAAAAAUAGACGUUACCAUUAAACUUUUAAAACCCUUUUCGAGUUGUUAACUAAUAAUACUCAUUAUGAUUGUUACAGCCUCCUCCAACUCGAGCAAAGUCGCCAAAACUAGGGCGUAGAAACACAAAAGAAGGGAACAGAUCCAAAGGAGUUUCGAGGCGCCAUGAAACUCGAAAGACUUUAAUAGUGAUCGCUAAAGAA